rnacentral:rRNA from 1 species
UGCGAACUCCUACGGGAGGCAGCAGUGGGGAAUAUUGCGCAAUGGGGGGAACCCUGACGCAGCCAUGCCGCGUGAAUGAAGAAGGCCUUCGGGUUGUAAAGUUCUUUCGGUGACGAGGAAGGUUGUUGUGUUAAUAGCGCAACAAAUUGACGUUAAUCACAGAAGAAGCACCGGCUAACUCCGUGCCAGCAGCCGCGGUAAUACGGAGGGUGCGAGCGUUAAUCGGAAUAACUGGGCGUAAAGGGCACGCAGGCGGACUUUUAAGUGAGGUGUGAAAUCCCCGGGCUUAACCUGGGAAUUGCAUUUCAGACUGGGGGUCUAGAGUACUUUAGGGAGGGGUAGAAUUCCACGUGUAGCGGUGAAAUGCGUAGAGAUGUGGAGGAAUACCGAAGGCGAAGGCAGCCCCUUGGGAAUGUACUGACGCUCAUGUGCGAAAGCGUGGGGAGCAAACAGGAUUAGAUACCCUUGUAGUCCAGAGAA